rnacentral:sRNA from 2 species
CUUUCCGGCCUCGAAAAGAGGAUGAGAACCUCCGGGGGAAGAGGUUCGACUCGAGCAUCGCGAGAGAACGUUGCUUCAGAAACGGCCCGCAGGGCGAGCCACACAGUGGCGAGUCAUCCUCUAUCACCGACCA